GAUGCAGAAGAUGAUUAAGUUGAGUUGGUGAUGAUAAUUCUCCAAUGGCUUCCUAUUCUUUCUCAUUUCUCUUUUCUUUUCCUCUUCUUUCUCUCUUCUUCUCUUCUCCUUUCCUCUUCCAUGUAUUCUCCCCCUUUGUUACUGUCUUUUUUCCUUUUCUUUUUUUCCUUGUUCUUAUCUUCUUUUCUUCUCACCCACAUAUUCUUCUUCUAUCUUUUCC
rnacentral:lncRNA from 1 species